GCUUCAAUGACAGGGUGGCGGCGGCGGCGGCACCUGGCUACAGUGGAGAGCCGGGUUUUGUCAUUCCCGUAGGCCCCAAAAUACUCCCGCCGGGUAGCUGGUAGAGCGGGAGAGACAUGUGCUGUCUCCUUCAUAAAUAACACGUGGCUUGUGUCCCGCCUAACGUUGUGGUAGUGAAGGCUGGAACUAGGUGAUUAAGAAAUGAAAAAGCAAAAAGCAGGAAGAAAGAGCCAGCUGAUGUAGCUGCCAAAACAAGGCGAGCCCAGGAGUUGGGGCCUGUGCUGUGAUGAACGUGGCAAAGUCCCUGACGGGCAAAAGGAAAUUCGUUUGGCAGAGCGGUGCUGGUAGAGGGACAAAGGUCUCAGCUCGGUCACGUCCGUUGCCAAAAGCCACAUGGGCAUUUGGACUCCUCUGAGGUGAUGUUUAAGCUUCCACUGAUCCAAUUAACCAUGGCUUUGCUUGCCUGUGGUAUAGUUUAGGAAAGUGGAGUUUCCAGCAGUAGAACCCAACACAGUGACUGAUGCAUCAGAGCCGUGUAGUGAGGCAGAGCAAUUAUUCCUCCUGGGCUGGAUCUUCUUCCAUCCAUCUUCUCAGAGAACCAUUUGUGAACAGACAGCAAAUCUUUGCUCUGUGGGCUGGGCUGGUGAGACACGAUACAUGCCAUUGGUCUGCACUGCCUGUAAGUUAAGCAAAUGCAUUCUAAAGCCCAAGUGUAAUAUACAUGACCCAAUAUACAGAUCUUGAGGUAGAAAGGUGAAAUGAACCCAGAGGCUGCCCCAAGACUUCACGUGACAUUGGAUAAGUGAUUUGUUCUCUGCCACUGUAGAAGAGGAAUACUAAUGCUUUUGCUUCUCACAGGCUUUUGUGAGGUGUAACACUGCAAUACACUUGUAUUAUAGUGACAUGACUUUAUGCAUGCAAUUAAUAAAAAAAUUGUUUAGUUCUUAUCUCUUCUAUAGAACUGGAUUUAGGAUUGAUUGGCAUAGUAAUAGAACUUCAAGAAAUGUUAGGCACUGAAUGUACUCUAUGAAGAAUGCAGGAGAAACAAAGUGUACUAAGGCUACAAGUGCCUUGUGGAACAUACAUGAAAAAUGAGAAGGAAAACUAGGGUGAAUUAUUAGAAAGGCAAAAGGAGUACUCAGAGGACAAGGUCAUGAAAGCCCAGUGGAUAAAAUUUCAAGGUGAAUAUGACUAGUGAGCUCCAAGGGAGAAUUAAAAACAACAACAACCACCAAAGGAAAAACAAGGUGGCAAAUGAACUGGAAAAGAUGGAAACUAAAAUCAAAGUUCCAGAUUAGUAAUUUCUUUGUGGUAAGGGCAGAAGAAAGUGGACUAAAACCAAGUUUUAAAUCCAGUGCAUGAAGUGGGCAGAUUUUUACAUAUGUGUAAUGAGAGUUUUUCCUUCAACUAUAGGUGUAUGAGGUAUGUCAAAAAUACUAGGUUUAGGCAUUACUCUAGCAUGCCUUAAGAAGAGAUUCAUUCAGCUGAUUUCCUUGGACUUGUAGCAUUGUUAAACUGGGCUAAAUGAGAAGAAAGUCAAGGCUGUUAUUUUCAAAAACUUGAGAAAUGCAUACAAUGGUAUUCUGCCAGAUAGAAACUGAAGAGUUAAAGAUCUUUUGUAUUUGUUGUGUACUCCUUCAGCAAACACAAUGGAGAUGAAAGUCACAGACUUGAAACUCAAUCAUCCAACCAUGAAACAACUAGGAAAGAGACCAAGGCACAAAUAUGGUGCCUGGCUAAAAUCUAAUGAUAGUUAUUAAUUUACAGGCUAAUUUGGCUUCAAAAGUCUUCUGUUCUUUCCCUCUCUUUUCCACAUGUCUUUUGGGAUAUAAUUAAAGGUCUUAGUUUUCACAUUUGCUAAUGUGCUAAGCUACUUCAGGUUGUCUUGACAUCAUAGUGUUUCACAGCAUGGUUAACAGAAAUACCAACUUCAACAAAAUCCAUCUUUGGGUGUAUGAAGCAUUUGCCUUAUUAUUGCAGCACUACACCAGUGACACAAAACUUAAUGUAGAACUGUAAAACAAGUGACAAAGCUCUGUUGAGGAGCAGUGGUGGUAAGGAAACUCAGGAGGACAAUGAGUAGUUAUAUUACAAUAGUGUUUGCAACAUGCUAGAAAUGUUUUCCAAGCAUAGAAGACUCUAUUCAUUGCCAAAGAACUUGUGCCUUAAAAGACAGUGUAAGGACAAAGCACAACAAAAAGCAACAUGUGGUAUACUAAGUAAAAUGAUCCAUAUGAUGGUUGCCAGAACAGAGGAGGAAAGGACUUCCUUCUCUUUUUUUUUUUUUUUUCUUUUCAGCUGGUCGCUCUUCACUUGGCCCCAUAAGUGGCCUUUCUAAGAUAGCCAAUUUCUUGUCUGUGUCAGUGAAUGUUGGAAAAAAGCUUUACUGGUAACUAGGUAAUGAUGAGACAUACUGCUUUGCAGAGAACGCAAUGAAAAGUCUUUAAAAUUAAAUACCAGUCGUGAUGAGGAUGUUAUGGGGUAAACUUAGUGCAAGGUCAUAGUUUUUUAUCACCACUUAGAUAUGGAUCUGAUAUGUUUAUUAGAAAGGGGGGAAAAAAAGGUUUGGUCAAUGAAUAACUCUUCUGUUUUUAUUAAGUAGUAAUAAUAGCUGCAUUUAUAGCAUGCUUUAGCUAGCUUGUGUACUGCAGCACUGAGAUUAUAUAAGCAACCAAAACAGAAUCUUCGAAGUCCAGGGAGAAGGGGAAUGCAGAGUAACAAGAUUAUAGGAGGUUACAAAGUCAGUUCAGAAAUAAAGUUUAAAUGAAAAGUAAUCUCAUGCUGAGAUUGUUUCACUGUGAAUGGGGAAAAAAGUGCUUGGACUCCAGGCUAAGCUUUUCAUUGCUGCCAGAAGGCCUCUUGGAAACUGCCUGUGCUCCUGAGGUGGGUGGUAGUGUCAGGCAUCAGUGAGACACAUGCAUGUCCCCAACAGCAUCAUAAUUAAAAGUCAGAACUUGGGGGCUUGUAGCAUUUGCUCUCCUCCACCCAGACCACUCCACCAUGUUCUUCACCCUGACUGCUGCUAUUCCACUUAAACCAUUAUUCACUGGUCUCAACAGUACCAUUUUUCAAGCUUGCUUUUCAUACUAGCAAGUGAACUGUAACAGGUUGCAGAUUUUCCAAAUUAAAGGACAGAACUGUUUGUCUGAGUUGGAUUCUCUGUCAAGCUCACUUCCUUUCUAAUCAGGACAAAGUGUACAGAGUACAUCCACAAGGCUAUGCAAGUGCUCCUUUGUUGAAUGCACCCUCUUUUCCUGAGGUACUCAAAGGGUUAGCAUGGUUUAUUCAUCUCCCAGAUAGCUCCCCUGGCCCCUGUUUCUGGAAGGCAAGGAAAGGGUCACCCAGUAGGUGUGGGAUUACUGCCUGGCAGGACUAGUGCCAGCCAUUACAGAGGAGCCCAUCACCAAACACAGGGUCCUUCAAGUCACUUGGGCAGCACAACUGAAGGGAUCUCAGAACUUUUCAAGAUCCAGGCUUUGAUAUGCCAGGAACUUGGUGUUUUCCACAGUAUGAAGUGGCAUAGGGCCCUUGGGACAACAGAGAAUUUGGCUUAGAGCUCUGAAAAUCUUGCUGCACCCUGUACCAUCUUUCAUUCUGCUUAGUUGAUGCCAUUAUAGAGUUUCAGUAAAAGUUUUUGCUGAAAUUAAAGUGAUAGAAUAUCAUAAUGGUCUAAUGUUUAAAAGAAAAAACCUGUCAUUAUAAUCUGAGUUUAUAAGUGUUGGACUAAAUCAUAAGGAUUAUUCUCAAUUACUUUAUGUAAACUUGUUUAAUACUGUCUUGAAUAUUAUGAGAUUCCUCCAGGCUGUUUAACUAAAAUUGGUUUUGCUGUCCCUGAAUCUGUCUGAAAUUAUAUGCAGUUUCAUAUCCUGGAAUAUAGCCUAUUUUUAUUAUACCAAAAUAUGGUUAGGGUUGAUCCAGAGAAAUUUAUACAUAUUAAAAUUUUUGUCUACAGUAAUAAUUUUAUUCACAUUUAAGGAAAAUUAAUUAUGCCAGUUAAAUACAAAACAAUGGGUUUUUCUUCUUUUAAGCUGAAAAUUCUGCUUCCAGAUGUCUGUAUCUGUAAAGCUAUGGAAAUGCAGCAUAGCUUAGAAAAUCCUCAAGACCAACUCAUUCCAGUUUUGUCCUCAUUUUAAACUUUGUACCAUGGAAAGUUCAAAAGCUUUUUUUCACAUUGUUUGUGAGAUUUCUCCAGAGGGAGUAUUUCUGGCUCUGGUUAGAAAAGAACUCCCUGUCUUGCUAAAGAUUGACAAUUAUGUACAUUUUUGGCCUCUAACUUAAGCAAGCCAGCAGGCCCUCAGGGUGCUUAAAGUCCAGUUAUGAACAGAAAAUUACUUUUAAAGAACACUCUCUAAACCCAUUUGAAAUUCACUCACUGAUACAGCAAUAAGCAGUUUUGAGGGCAAAAAAAGUGAGAGAUUCCUGUUUUAUCUGUAUGUAGGUCAAAUGUAUCUGAACUGCUCCAGAAUUUUUUCUUGAUUUUUCUGCAGAAAAGUCUUCCAGAGUGAGAACAGAGGACUCCAACAUAAAGAAAGCCCAGUGCUUCAUAGCAGCACAAUCACAAAAAGACCUGUUCAUUCUGCAUCUGAUAUGUGCUUCCUGCCUCUCUGUCAUCAUGAUUCAGCAUGGUGACAUGCUGAAAGAUCAUUAAGGUGGAAACAAUGCCGAGCAGUGUUAGGAUGAUGUGACCUGCCACGAUUAUUUUGUGUGUACCUGAUUUAUUGCACAUCAUAUUUUCUCUUUCCUUGUCUUUCGGCUGCCAGGCACGUAGUUCAUACUUCUGCCAGUGCCUGGUCUUGUACUUGGAAAAGAGAACAGGGAUGCCCUGGGGUGUAGGCAAGGACAGUUUGCCCUCUGUACCUUGGUUUGGAAAGCUUGAGAAUACCUCAGUUCAUGCAUUGCAAUAUAUGGUGCUAUUUAAUGAGUUACAACGACUCCACUUUUUUCAUUUAUUUUUCUGAUUGCCUAUGAACAGUUACCCAGAGCUCAAGAGAGGAACUCAAGAAGUGUUCCUUAAAACUAUGAAGACAAAUUUGUUGAAAACCUGGACAUUUUUUCCCUGUCUCCAGAAGACUAGCAUAAUUUCUGGAACCCGUAAACUCUUUUUCUUAUAGAGGCAGUUGUGCAAGUAGGGGAGAUUCCAAGAAAAUGGUGAUCUUAAAAGAUCUGCUGCUAUGAAAGGAGAGACCUGUCUCAGUAAUUUAGGAGAGGAAGGAAAAGAUAAUAGCAAGUGAGGUUUUGAGCUGAUAAGACUUGACUAGGUGGUAUUCCUUAAUAACACUUAGUGGUUUGAUUUUUGUUCUCUCUUUUUUGAUGAGGCAGUUCCUUGAGAAGAAUGGGGACAGGCUUCUCAAGGAACUGCAUUUUGUUUGUUUUUUGAGUGAACAAUAGUAUCCUCCCUCUUUUCUUGAACAAUGGAGAUUCAAUAUUAUAGCUCAGGUUUUGUUAAAACUGUCAAAGUAGCACAUCUGCCCCAAAGAGCUCACCUUUGCCAGGGCUGGCUACAGAUGCAGGCAGACAAAAGCACUGUGAGCCUGAGCCCCAAAGAGCCACUGCAGUCCAGGUGGCUCAGUACUGUGUUUUCUGUCACUAGCCAUUCUUCCUUCUGCCAGGACAGUGCCUGUGUUCCCAUGCCCCCCUCUGAUGCAUAACUCAAUCCAGUGUCCUGUUGCUCUCCUGCCAUUGCACCCUUCAGUGUCUAUCCCAUCCCAAGGGCUUUGUGAUGUCUGUUUUUGCAAAGAUACAGUGCCCUUACUCUGUGCCUCUCUGGCUUUCUUCACUUGUGGUUCACUUAAGACACAGUGUUGAGUUGCUGCCACCAGAAGGGGUGGUUCUGCUCCCUCCAGAGCCUUUCUCCUUGGCAUCGCUCUUGUCAAGCCCUUUGGUGAGUCAGUUCCAGAGAGUAGUUUUCUGUUGGAUUAACAAGUUGGAUCAGCUUACCAAGUGGUUUGAUGUGGUGUAAGAGAGGGUGUGGACCAGCAGGGCCAGGAGUUUGGGAGGGAAAAGCAGGACCACCCAAGUCAGAAUAGUAAGCUGACUCGGUCAUGUCAUGUAACUUCACUCUUAUUUACUUCAGAUUAUGUAACUUGAUCCAUUUCUACUUUCUCUUUUCUCUGAUUGAAGAGAAGCUUUUAAUUUUGAAACUGAAUUGAGAGAAUCAGCAGAUGCAAAGGGCAGGGUAUUUUGUACCAAGACAGGAUAAUGGCUAGUGUCACCUGAUACUGCUGUCUGAGGAUGCAAGGAGAGGUGUUUCAGGCUAUUGAUGGUGCAAACAGCAUGCCAGGGACUCCAAUUUUGUAAGUUUUUGUUUGUUUCUUUGUUUUUCUUUUCAGGUUUUAGUAGUUGAAAGGUUCUGGCUGUUGAUGAUAAUAGUUAUUGAUAUUUUAGAACUGAACUCAUUUGGUAUUAAAACUUGUGAUAUUGAUGCACACUCGUUAUGAUGGUGUUCUCUGUCUUAUUCUUCCUAUCCUCUCUGCAAAUACUCUUUGACUAAUACCAGAGCAAGGUAUUUAAUCAUGUUUUAAAGUACUUCCCAAGCAACUUAUACCAAGGACAGAUACUUAUAAACCAGGAAUGCUAGUAGUGGAUAUACAGGAAUUUAAAUUCCUAUAUCACAAAAAUUGUUCUCCCUGCAUGAUCUAAAGUGACACUACUCAUUUUAUCUCUUUCAGUGGGCAUUCAGAUGGCACAAUGCUGUUCAUGAAUCCACUGAAACAUAAUGUUGGAAUUGUACAUUGGAGAGCUUUUACAAAGCAGUAGUGAAAUAUUAAGUCCUGGAAAAUUAAGCUUACAAGGAUUUUGUUGAGCAAAGUCGUUCUCACAUAUCCCAGGCUGCUGCAACUGAAUCGUCUACUGCAAUCUCCAAGGCCCCAAUAGAAAGAGUUUCUUCAUGUAAACAAGCCUGUUCACACACACAAGAGAGAAGGAGUCACUCCAGUGCUGGUGUAAUCUCUCUGAGCAGCUUCUCAGACACCCUAAGGCUGUACUCUUGAAGUUGUGCACCCAUACCUGACAUGUGUACAGUGGUUUUAAGAAUAUUUUGUUAACGUUUUGCUAACUACUGAAAUAAAUUGUUCAUAAAUUA